CCCCUCUCAGGGUGGCACCUGGAGAGUUUUCAGUACUCUACCAGUCUCGGCUAAGGGAGGGCAAGUCCAACAGAGGUCUAUCCAUUCCAUUCGUAGCUUGGGCAGUGGCUAGCAAAUGGAAGACUAUCUGUUGCAAGU